GGGGGGGGCAAGCGUUGUUCGGAAUUACUGGGCGUAAAGGGCUCGUAGGCGGCCAACUAAGUCAGACGUGAAAUCCCUCGGCUUAACCGGGGAACUGCGUCUGAUACUGGAUGGCUUGAGCGUGGGAGAGGGAUGCGGAAUUCCAGGUGUAGCGGUGAAAUGCGUAGAUAUCUGGAGGAACACCGGUGGCGAAGGCGGCAUCCUGGACCACUUCUGACGCUGAGGAGCGAAAGCCAGGGGAGCAAACGGGAUUAGAUACCCCGGUAGUCCUGGCCCUAAACGAUGAAUGCUUGGUGUGACGGGUAUCGAUCCCUGUCGUGCCGAAGCUAACGCAUUAAGCAUUCCGCCUGGGGAGUACGGUCGCAAGGCUG
rnacentral:rRNA from 1 species